rnacentral:rRNA from 1 species
AGUGAACGCUGGCGGUAGGCCUAACACAUGCAAGUCGAACGGCAGCACAGUAAGAGCUUGCUCUUACGGGUGGCGAGUGGCGGACGGGUGAGGAAUACAUCGGAAUCUACUUUUUCGUGGGGGAUAACGUAGGGAAACUUACGCUAAUACCGCAUACGACCUACGGGUGAAAGCAGGGGUCUUCGGACCUUGCGCGGUUGAAUGAGCCGAUGUCGGAUUAGCUAGUUGGCGGGGUAAAGGCCCACCAAGGCGACGAUCCGUAGCUGGUCUGAGAGGAUGAUCAGCCACACUGGAACUGAGACACGGUCCAGACUCCUACGGGAGGCAGCAGUGGGGAAUAUUGGACAAUGGGCGCAAGCCUGAUCCAGCCAUACCGCGUGGGUGAAGAAGGCCUUCGGGUUGUAAAGCCCUUUUGUUGGGAAAGAAAAGCAGCAGGUUAAUACCCCGCUGUUCUGACGGUACCCAAAGAAUAAGCACCGGCUAACUUCGUG